UUAAAUCAGUUAUCGUUUAUUUGAUAGUACCUUACUACUUGGAUAACCGUGGUAAUUCUAGAGCUAAUACAUGCUAAAAACCCCAACUUCGGGAGGGGUGUAUUUAUUAGAUAAAAAACCAAUGCCCUUCGGGGCUCUCUGGUGAUUCAUAAUAACUUCUCAGAUCGCAUGGCCUUGCGCCGGCGACGGUUCAUUCAAAUUUCUGCCCUAUCAACUUUCGAUGGUAAGGUAUUGGCUUACCAUGGUUUCAACGGGUAACGGGGAAUUAGGGUUCGAUUCCGGAGAGGGAGCCUGAGAAACGGCUACCACAUCCAAGGAAGGCAGCAGGCGCGCAAAUUACCCAAUCCCAAUACGGGGAGGUAGUGACAAUAAAUACUGAUACAGGGCUCUUUAGGGUCUUGUAAUUGGAAUGAGUACAAUUUAAACCUCUUAACGAGGAACAAUUGGAGGGCAAGUCUGGUGCCAGCAGCCGCGGUAAUUCCAGCUCCAAUAGCGUAUAUUAAAGUUGUUGCAGUUAAAAAGCUCGUAGUUGAACCUUUGGCCUGGCUGGCGGGUCCGCCUCACCGCGUGCACUCGUCCGGCCGGGCCUUUUCUUCUGGAGAACCGCAUGCCCUUCACUGGGUGUGUUGGGGACCAGGACUUUUACUUUGAAUAAAUCAGAGUGUUCAAAGCAGGCAUUUGCUCGAAUACGUUAGCAUGGAAUAAUAGAAUAGGACGUGCGGUCUUAUUUUGUUGGUUUCUAAGACCGCCGUAAUGAUUAAUAGGGACAGUCGGGGGCAUCAGUAUUCAAUUGUCAGAGGUGAAAUUCUUGGAUUUAUUGAAGACUAACUACUGCGAAAGCAUUUGCCAAGGAUGUUUUCAUUAAUCAGUGAACGAAAGUUAGGGGAUCGAAGACGAUCAGAUACCGUCGUAGUCUUAACCAUAAACUAUGCCGACUAGGGAUCGGGCGGUGUUAUUAUUUUGACUCGCUCGGCACCUUACGAGAAAUCAAAGUG
rnacentral:rRNA from 1 species